rnacentral:rRNA from 1 species
UGGGGAAUUUUGGACAAUGGGCGCAAGCCUGAUCCAGCCAUGCCGCGUGCGGGAAGAAGGCCUUCGGGUUGUAAACCGCUUUUGUCAGGGAAGAAAUCUUCUGAGUUAAUACCUCGGGAGGAUGACGGUACCUGAAGAAUAAGCACCGGCUAACUACGUGCCAGCAGCCGCGGUAAUACGUAGGGUGCAAGCGUUAAUCGGAAUUACUGGGCGUAAAGCGUGCGCAGGCGGUUUUGUAAGACAGAGGUGAAAUCCCCGGGCUCAACCUGGGAACUGCCUUUGUGACUGCAAGGCUUGAGUGCGGCAGAGGGGGAUGGAAUUCCGCGUGUAGCAGUGAAAUGCGUAGAUAUGCGGAGGAACACCGAUGGCGAAGGCAAUCCCCUGGGCCUGUACUGACGCUCAUGCACGAAAGCGUGGGGAGCAAACAGAUUAGAUCCCUGGUAGUCCACGCCCUAAACGAUGUCAACUGGUUGUUGGGAAGGUUCCUUCUCAGUAACGUAGCUAACGCGUGAAGUUGACCGCCUGGGGAGUACGGCCGCAAGGUUGAAACUCAAAUGAAUUGACGGGGUCAUAGCUGUUU